UGAACGUUGGCGGCGUGGAUUAGGCAUGCAAGUCGUGCGAGAAACCAAUUAGCUUGCUAUGAGGUGGACAGCGGCGAAAGGGAGAGUAACGCGUGGUUACGUGCCCUCGAGACCGGGAUAGUGUCGGGAAACUGGCAGUAAUACCGGAUAACAUCUUCGGAUCAAAUGGUGAGAUUCCGCUCGAGGAUCGGACCGCGUACUAUUAGCUUGUUGGCGGGGUAAUGGCCCACCAAGGCUGCGAUGGUUACCGGGUGUGAGAGCAUGGCCCGGCUCACUGGGACUGAGACACUGCCCAGACAUCUACGGAUGGCUGCAGUCGAGAAUCUUCGGCAAUGGACGAAAGUCUGACCGAGCGACGCCGCGUGCGGGAUGAAGGCCCUCGGGUUGUAAACCGCUGUCAGUUAGGAGGAAAUCGAUGAGGGUUCUCUCUCAUCGUUGACCGAUUUUCAGAGGAAGGACGGGCUAAGUUCGUGCCAGCAGCCGCGGUAAGACGAACCGUCCGAACGUUAUUCGGUAUCACUGGGCUUAAAGCGUGCGUAGGCGGCUUGGUAGGUGAGAUGUGAAAGCCCACGGCUCAACCGUGGAAUAGCGUCUCAAACCCCCAAGCUCGAGGAAGAUAGGGGUGAUGGGAACUUAUGGUGGAGCGGUGAAAUGCGUUGAUAUCAUAGGGAACACCGGUGGCGAAAGCGCAUCACUGGAUCUUUUCUGACGCUGAGGCACGAAAGCUAGGGUAGCGAACGGGAUUAGAUACCCCGGUAGUCCUAGCCGUAAACGAUGAGCACUGGGUUGAGGGAACUUCCACAUUCU
rnacentral:rRNA from 1 species